rnacentral:rRNA from 1 species
GUUGUAGGAAAAUAAAUGUUUUUAUGUUAAAGUAAUAGGUUGAGGAAUAUUUAUUGUUAUAGUACUGAGAAGGAAGGUAUAAUUAUAGUUGGAGGAGUUAUAUAUUUAGUAAAGUUUAAUUUUUGUACCUUUUGCAUAAUGGUUUGAUGAUAUUUAUUGAUGAAUGUAUUAGUUUCUCGAAAUAAAAAGAUUUAUUUGUUUUAUAUAUAUAUAUAUAUAUAUAUAUAUAUAUUAGUUAACGUGGUAUAGUUAUUUUUUUAAAAGUAAAUGGUAGUGAAAUGCUAAACGAUUUUUAUGAUAGCUAGUUUAUUGAUGUUCAUUUAAGUGUAAUUUAAGAUAAGUUAUUAUAAGUAAUUUGUUUUGGUAAAGAUAUUGGGGGAUAAGCUUCAUUAUGAAUUGUGAGAUUAGAUAAUUAAUCAUUAGAUUUAAGUUGAAUUAAUAAUUUAUCUUUUGAAUAAGUUAUAAUAUAUGUGGUUUUUGAAAAGAUUAGUCUUUAUAAUGUUAAAAUAAAUUGUUUUAAUUUAAAAAAAAUAAUAUAUAAUGUUAAAAUGAGUAUUUUAGUUUGUAAAUGGAAAGUAAAAAUAUUUAAAUAUAUAUAUAUAUAUAUAUAAAUUAAUAUUUGGAUAUUAAUUAGUUUUAAUGUUAAAUUAAAUAAAAUGAAGGAAUUCGGCAAAAAAUAAUUUCGCCUGUUUAUCAAAAACAUGUCUCCUUGAGUUUUUUUAAUGGGGAGUUGGGCCUGCUCGGUGAGAUAUAAUUUAACAGCUGCGGUAUUAUAACUGUACUAAGGUAGCAUAAUAAUUUGCCUUAUAAAUUAGGGCUAGAAUGAAUGGUUUGACGAAAAUUAUGCUGUCUCUAUUUUAUUUAUUAGAAAUUAAUUUUUAUAGUGAAAAAGCUUGGAUGGUUUAAAGGGACGAGAAGACCCUAUUGAGCUUAGUAUUAGUAUAUAAAUAAUAUUUAUUUAAUUUUUUAAAAUUAAAUAUGGUAUAUAAAUGUUUAUUAAAUUUAAUUUUGGUUGGGGUGAUCAAGGAAUAAAAAAUGUUGAUAACUUCCUUAAAAUAGUUUUAUGUUUGUUGGAUAAUAAACCAAAUUUUUUGCUUUUAAGAUAAGUUACCAUAGGGGUAACAGCGUAAUUUUUUUUGAGAGUUCAUAUUGAAAAAAAAGAUUGCGACCUCGAUGUUGGAUUAAAAAUAACCUUAAGGUGUAGAGGCUUUAUUAGGUGAAUCUGUUCGAUUUUUAAAAUUUUACAUGAUCUGAGUUCAAACCGGUGAAAGCCAGGUUGGUUUUUAUCUUUUAAAUUUUAUUUUUAAUUUAAUUUAGUACGAAAGGAUUGGUUAUAAUUAAUUGAUUGAAUUAAUGAUUAUAAAAUG